rnacentral:lncRNA from 10 species
GGGAAGGACAUUGAUAAUGCUUUCUAGCCAUGUGUGAAGUUUUGCUGCAAAGAGGAUGCUGGUCUUUCAAGUCCCUGCUGCUUUGGAAGAUCUCUGAGGCCUUCAACCACAUUCUUUGUAUUUAUGUCCUACUCUUCUACUUGUUCUCUGUGGAAGAGAGACAGAGGAAAAAAGCUACUGUAACCUUAUCCUAAGUGGAUGCCUAGGUGAACAUUUUGGAUGGUCACUUAACCUAAGUCUCAGUUUCCUCAUUAAUAAAAUGGGGGCACAUGAGACAUACCUCAUGAGGUUGUUUCGAGGCUUAAAUAUACGUUAAAUGUAUUUUGUGAGCCUAAAAGAUAUUUAAACACAAGCCGCUAUUACAUCUUUACAUGAUUGAAGUUCCUGAAGGAGACCUGUAGUGGGUGUCUAUACAGGGCAGUUGGUUCAUGUGGCCAGGUCUACUUGGGGAUGUGAAUGGAAGUUUACUUCUUCUGGGAACUUUGAUUGUUAAUAUUGUUGGAUUUAUCACUCUUUAGUGAAACAAGUUACUUCCUCAUGGUGGUAAGAAGUCCCAGAACACUGUUCCAAACACUUUCCCAAAGGCUCAUCCUUGAAAACCCAAGGCCAUCAACAAGCCAUUGGACUACCCUUUUUUCAAAUACACAUCUUUCUGGCAAACAGGGGAUUCUUCUAAAAUAAUUUGAAGAAAUGAAAAAUACCAGCUUACGUGCUUCACUCUGAGAUCAUUUCUGUCCUGUUAGGUACAAUCUUAGGGUUUAUCCCUGACUUUUCCCCCUGAGCAAGUCUUACUCAGCUCAGGUGAUAUAAGACAGUUGCACAACUUAUUGGUCUUUUUUGAGUAAAUAUUUGCUUGAGCUUCAGUUCUUUUUAUCACUGUCCUGACAGUUCUACAUUUACCCACAAGUUGUAGAACUCUCUGGCUUUUUCUCCCUGUGCAAGAUCAGCACCAUCCUUGUAACAGAAAGAUGCAUUUGUCCAUCACUUGAGUGAUCUUUUUGAGAGACCACUUUACCUCUUCUCUACUGAGUAGUGGAUGAUAAGACCUACUUCUAGUCCAUUCCACCUGGCAUUUGAAAUAUCACCUUUUUAUACCCAUUAUCAUAUCCACUAUUUAAGGAAUCUCAGCAUCCUGAUGUCUUUUUGUCUAUAGGAAACCUACUCUGACUCAAAUCUGCCAUUAAAGUCUGAACAAUGCAGCCACUGAUCAGGCCUCAGACAGGCUUGACUUACACAUGUUAUCUCAGAGGGAUAUCAAUGUGAUUCAGGAUCACCCACUAAAACCUGAGCUCCAACUAGCCUUUUGAAUUGGCUGACAAGCUCCUUGCCUGCCCUGAUGGAACAGAACACCAGACACUAUGGGGGGAAGUGA